CCCGCCGCCCCCAACCACCGGCCGCCAUGCAACUCUCUCCUCCGGCCGUCGUGCGCCUCCCAACCCCGGCCGUCGCGCGCCUCCUACCCCGGUCGUCGCGCGCCUCCGACCCCACCCGUCGCUCGCCUCCGACCCCUGGCCGCCGCGCGCCUCCCUCCACCCGGCUCCCUGUGCAGCUAUGGAAUCCGUCCUGGCUGAUCUGCUCUAGCCGUUCAACUUUGCGUCUUCCGGCCGCUCGGCCAGCGGAGCUCGACGAAGAGCACCCCGGUCUCACUUGUGUGUGGAGUUCUGAGCAUCUUCUACCGCUGUGUUCUGCUCUCUUCUAUUUUCAACUGAAUGCGCUGCCAUGUGUGGAUUUACUCUCGACUCGCCGGGGCUCCUCCACCUCUAGCCGUCGAUGCAUAGUUCAUUGUCAGUACAGGCUCUGAAGCUGCCUAGUACAUGUUGGGGGACAUUUCUGGAAUCACGUUUCCUUCUUGCAGCUGUAAUUUUGAUUGCAUAGCAGUAUAGUUUAGUUGUCUCUAAAGUUUUGAUUCACAUCAGUACAAUUUAGUCCCAGCUGCCAUGAUUCUGCAAACCAUUGUGCUACCAAAAAGAUGGUGCUUUGUUGCAACAAAUUGUGGGGAAAAUGCAGUGAAAUAGGGCCAGUACAAGCAGAUGGUGCUUUGUUCUGUAGGCUGCCACUGUUCUGCCUGUCCGGUAAUAGCGGCGGUGAGACGAACACCGUGCGCGCACCUGUGUGACAUGAAGCGGAGGCAUCACUAUGGCCGCGUACAGAGUGUUGGGACUGCAACAAUUCCCAAGGUCUAAAGCGUAGAGGACGUGCUUGUGAGCUGUGAUGUUCUGAACUUGUGAUAUAUGUAUGCAUGUAUGCUUUGUUUUGUGAUGGAUCACAUAUAGAUCAAUUCUUUUUCUUCUACUGAAAAUCAAUAUGUUCUGCAGCUGCGGCGGUGAGAGGCAGACCCGCUCAUGUUACUCCAUCUCCCAAGCUAAGUUUUCUGCUAUUUUUGAUGUUAUUCCUAAAAGAAAAUCAUUUAUACAUGGCCAAUGUGAAUGUGCAGUCUGGUGUAGUGCAAAAGAAUAGUCACGUAUGUGGUUAAUUAGCUGAGCAUGCAGGGCCUUUUUGAGCUUUAGGUGGAAACUAGUUGGAUACUAGCGUUUUUGGAAAAUCAAGUUGUUCUUUCUUUACAUGAUUUACAAACUCACAUUGCAUUCUCCUGUUGCUUUACUCUUCCAUCUCAUAUUGCUUCAUUCUAUAUGAUUUGAGUUAUCUAAAAGAGUUUUUGUUCCUGCUAUCUACAGAGAUACAUUCUUUUAACUGAAAAAUGUUGUAUCUGGCGGCCACCACUCCUUGGAACUUUUCUUCCAUCUGCUUGUACGCAGACCAUGGUGCUUCACUUUGUUCUUAUCUUUUUUUUUUUGUGCAGCCAGUCAGUGCUUCUUCUUGAUCUCCUGACCACCAGCGCCGCUUCUUCCGGGCCUUCUGCUCAUGGCGCUCGAGCUGUCUGUACAUUUUUUCCUCAGUUCUAAAUUCCCAGAGCGCCAGUCCAACUACAUAUCAGCAUCCUCCCAAUCCGCUCGAUCUCGUCCUGCUCUGGAGCAUGCUUCAGUUCAACAAAAAGCUCCGGAAAAGUUCAAAGCUGUGGAUUGCGCCCAGCACGUCGUUCUGCAGUGAGCCAGGAUAGAGGUUGUUGGACACUGUCGUGCACACCAUGAGCAACUGUGGCCAUUGGCCACCCCUUCAGCCAGUUGUCUUUCCUUGGUUUGAUCUUGAAUUGAACCGUUGAAAAGUUGGUUAUGAACCUGUGACCUUCUGUUUGAAUUGAACGGUUGAACUGAUGAACUACUA